GAUGAACGCUAGCGGCAGGCUUAACACAUGCAAGUCGAGGGGCAGCACGAUGUAGCAAUACAUUGGUGGCGACCGGCGCACGGGUGCGUAACACGUAUGGAAUCUGCCCUUUACUGGAGGAUAGCCCGGAGAAAUCCGGAUUAAUACUCCAUAACUGUCGAGGUGGCAUCACCUUGAUCUGAAAGCUCCGGCGGUAAAGGAUGACCAUGCGCACGAUUAGCUAGUUGGUGAGGUAAUGGCUCACCAAGGCUACGAUCGUUAGGGGCCUGAGAGGGUUAUCCCC
rnacentral:rRNA from 1 species